rnacentral:rRNA from 1 species
GAUGAACGCUGGCGGCGUGCCUAAUACAUGCAAGUCGAGCGAACAGACGAGGAGCUUGCUCCUCUGACGUUAGCGGCGGACGGGUGAGUAACACGUGGAUAACCUACCUAUAAGACUGGGAUAACUUCGGGAAACCGGAGCUAAUACCGGAUAACAUGUUGAACCGCGUGGUUCAACAGUGAAAGACGGUCUUGCUGUCACUCAUAGAUGGAUCCGCGCCGCAUUAGCUAGUUGGUAAGGUAACGGCUUACCAAGGCAACGAUGCGUAGCCGACCUGAGAGGGUGAUCGGCCACACUGGAACUGAGACACGGUCCAGACUCCUACGGGAGGCAGCAGUAGGGAAUCUUCCGCAAUGGGCGAAAGCCUGACGGAGCAACGCCGCGUGAGUGAAGAAGGUCUUCGGAUCGUAAAACUCUGUUAUUAGGGAAGAACAAAUGUGUAAGUAACUAUGCACGUCUUGACGGUACCUAAUCAGAAAGCCACGGCUAACUACGUG